rnacentral:rRNA from 1 species
ACACUGACGUCGCGACGCAUAUCAAUAAGCGGAGGAAAAGAAACUAACAAGGAUUCCCUUAGUAACGGCGAGUGAAGCGGGAAGAGCUCAAAUUUGAAAUCUUCAAGGUUUUACCUUGACGAAUUGUAGUUUAAAGAAGUGUUUUCUGUUGAAGUUUUGGUAAAAGUUCUUUGGAAUAGGACAUCAUAGAGGGUGAGAAUCCCGUAUUUGACCAUUAUUUUCAGCUGUGUGAUACACUUUCAAAGAGUCGGAUUGUUUGGGAAUGCAGUCCAAAAUGGGUGGUAAAUUUCAUCUAAAGCUAAAUAUUGGCGAGAGACCGAUAGCGAACAAGUACCGUGAGGGAAAGAUGAAAAGAACUUUGAAAAGAGAGUUAAACAGUACGUGAAAUUGUCAAAAGGGAAGCGUUUGACACCAGUGUUGUUUUUCCGAAAAUCAAUUAUAAAUGUUUUGUUUCUGAGGAGUGAUGACUUCAUCGGCUUCCUUCUCUCUUUCACGAAACUUUUGUAAUGCACUUUUCGGUUAACAAGUCAACAUCAAUUUCUUUUGUUGUAAAAGAGUAUUCGGAAGGUGGCUUUCUUUUCGGAGAAAGUGUUUAUAGCCCUAUACUUCUACAAUCGGAGAGAUUGAGGCCUGCAGCGUAGAUCCUUCGGGGUUAGAUACACUUGUGCUAAGUUAUAGCUUUUCAUAGACAACUUGUUGACUAUGAUCAGUCAUGUAGCUUACUCGCUUAUGCUAUUUUACCUACGCUUAGGAUGUUGAGUCGUAGAGCACGCAG